UCUGCCGAUUCCCAAUGUGAA
rnacentral:piRNA from 1 species